CAGUAGCCGCGGUAACACGUAGGGGGCGAGCGUUGUCCGAAUUUACUGGGCGUAAAGAGCAUUAAGGCGGUUUCUUAAGUGAGUGGUGAAAGGUUCAGGGCUCAACCCGAACACUGCCAUUCAUACUGGGAGACUUGAGUACGGGAGAGGCGAAUGGAAUUUCUGGUGUAGCGGUGAAAUGCGUAGAUAUCAGAAGGAACACCCAUGGCGAAGGCAGUUCGCUGGCCUGUAACUGACGCUGUAGUGCGAAAGCGUGGGGAGCAAUCAGGAUUAGAUACCCCCGUAGUCCCUGUCUCUUAUA
rnacentral:rRNA from 1 species